rnacentral:lncRNA from 1 species
UGAUAAAAAAAUAUCAAAAAGUAUUUCAGUGUAACCUUGCCUUUCGAAGGUGGCCAAUUUUGAUUGAGUUAUAAAGAUUCUAGUGCCAGACAGACAAUUCAUCAGAAACAGCAUGGGAAUUUUCAUUGAUGUUCAUGUACUGAAAUGAUUGUUCACAUGAAAAUGUAUUCUUCUUACAAAUUUUGGCUUUUACUUCAUUCAAAUGUAUAACAAGAGU